rnacentral:rRNA from 1 species
UACGUAGGGAGCAAGCGUUAUCCGGAUUUACUGGGUGUAAAGGGCGCGUAGGCGGGAUGGCAAGUCAGAUGUGAAAUCCAGGGGCUCAACCCCUGAACUGCAUUUGAAACUGUCGUUCUUGAGUACUGGAGAGGUUGACGGAAUUCCUAGUGUAGCAGUGAAAUGCGUAGAUAUCGAGAGGAACACUCGUGGCGAAGGCGGGUUCCUGGACAUUAACUGACGCUGAGGCACGAAGGCCAGGGGAGCGAAAGGG